rnacentral:lncRNA from 1 species
UUAGACUAUAAUAAUACUAAGCAAGCUUAAUCAAAUUCAAAAAAAAUCUCAAAGAAAUUUCAAACAAAUAAUAGGAAUUUUUAAAGAAACAUUAGAAAGAACAAAAAUGUCAUUCAAAUACAUCUCAAUUCAAUCUUAAUUUAAUUCUAGUUAAAAUCCUUUUGAAUUUCAUUCAAACUUUAAGCCAAACUAAUUGAAUCUUAAAUCCUAAUAAAAUAAUAAAUCCUAAAUCCUAAAUCCUAAAUAAAUAUUAAAUCAAACCAUAAUCUAAACCCUAAAUCCUAAAUCAAAUCCUAAUCAAAUCCUAAAUCAAAUCCUAAUCCAAAUCCUAAUCCGAACCCUAAAUCCUAAACCAAAUCCUAAACCCUAAACCAAAUCCUAAUCAAAUCUUAAACCCUAAAUCAAACCCUAUUCAAAUCCUAAACUCUAAAUCAAAUCCUAAUCCAAACCUUAAACCUUAAACCAAAUCCUAAUCCAAAUCUUAAACUCCA